GAGAGCCGGAUGCGCUGAAAGGUGCACGUCCGGUUCGGAGGGGGGCCGAGCAAUGUUCUCUCUGAGACUUUGCCGGCCUACCCUAC
rfam:Sphingomonas sp. JJ-A5 plasmid pHSL1, complete sequence.